GAUGAACGCUGGCGGCGUGCCUAAUACAUGCAAGUCGAGCGAACGGACGAGAAGCUUGCUUCUCUGAUGUUAGCGGCGGACGGGUGAGUAACACGUGGAUAACCUACCUAUAAGACUGGGAUAACUUCGGGAAACCGGAGCUAAUACCGGAUAAUAUUUUGAACCGCAUGGUUCAAAAGUGAAAGACGGUCUUGCUGUCACUUAUAGAUGGAUCCGCGCUGCAUUAGCUAGUUGGUAAGGUAACGGCUUACCAAGGCAACGAUGCAUAGACGACCUGAGAGGGUGAUCGGCCACACUGGAACUGAGACACGGUCCAGACUCCUACGGGAGGCAGCAGUAGGGAAUCUUCCGCAAUGGGCGAAAGCCUGACGGAGCAACGCCGCGUGAGUGAUGAAGGUCUUCGGAUCGUAAAACUCUGUUAUUAGGGAAGAACAUAUGUGUAAGUAACUGUGCACAUCUUGACGGUACCUAAUCAGAAAGCCACGGCUAACUACGUG
rnacentral:rRNA from 1 species